rnacentral:rRNA from 1 species
UUGGAGGGCAAGUCUGGUGCCAGCAGCCGCGGUAAUUCCAGCUCCAAUAGCGUAUAUUAAAGUUGUUGCAGUUAAAAAGCUCGUAGUUGAAUUUCGAGAUCAAAUUGUUGGUCGUGCCUCGGUACGUACUGGCAUUAUUGAUUUCUCCCUUCUGAAGAACCUUGAUGUCAUUAAUUUGGUGUCUUGGGGAAUCAGGACCGUUACUUUGAAAAAAUUAGAGUGUUUAAAGCAGGCUCACGCUUGAAUACAUUAGCAUGGAAUAAUGAAAUAGGACGUUUGAUUCUAUUUUGUUGGUUUCUAGGAUCGACGUAAUGAUUAAUAGGGAUAGUUGGGGGCAUUAGUAUUCAAUUGUCAGAGGUGAAAUUCUUGGAUUUAUUGAAGACUAACUACUGCGAAAGCAUUUGCCAAGGAUGUUUUCAUUAAUCAAGAACGAAAGUUAGGGGAUCGAAGACGAUCAGAUACCGUCGUAGUCUUAACCAUAAACUAUGCCGACUAGGGAUCGGAUGAUGUUAAUUUUUUAAUGACUCAUACGGCGCCUUACGGGAAACCAAAGUGUUUGGGUUC